rnacentral:rRNA from 1 species
UACAGAGGUCCCGAGCGUUGUUCGGAUUCACUGGGCGUAAAGGGUGCGUAGGCGGUUCUGAAAAGUCUGAUGUGAAAUCUCCAGGCCCAACCUGGAAACGGCAUUAGAAACUACAGGGCUAGAGGCUUGGAGGGGGAACUGGAAUGCUCAGUGUAGCAGUGAAAUGCGUAGAGAUCGAGCGGAACACCAGUGGCGAAGGCGAGUUCCUGGACAAGUCCUGACGCUGAGGCACGAAAGCCAGGGGAGCAAACAGG